rnacentral:rRNA from 1 species
ACUCCUACGGGAGGCAGCAGUGGGGAAUCUUGCACAAUGGAGGAAACUCUGAUGCAGCGACGCCGCGUGAGCGAUGAAGCCCUUCGGGGUGUAAAGCUCUUUCGACGGGAACGAUAAUGACGGUACCCGAAGAAGAAGCUGCGGCUAACUACGUGCCAGCAGCCGCGGUAAUACGUAGGCAGCAAGCGUUGUUCGGAAUUACUGGGCGUAAAGAGUGUGUAGGCGGUGCUCCAAGUCUGGUGUGAAAUCUCCCGGCUUAACUGGGAGGGUGCAUUAGAAACUGGAAUGCUAGAGGAUGGGAGAGGUAAGCGGAAUUCCUGGUGUAGCGGUGAAAUGCGUAGAUAUCAGGAGGAACACCUGUGGUGUAGACAGCUUACUGGACCAUUUCUGACGCUGAGACACGAAAGCGUGGGUAGCAAACAGGAUUAGAUACCCUGGUAG